GCUUACACAUGCAAGUCGAACGAUGAAGCCCAGCUUGCUGGGUGGAUUAGUGGCGAACGGGUGAGUAACACGUGAGUAACCUGCCCUUAACUCUGGGAUAAGCCUGGGAAACUGGGUCUAAUACCGGAUAGGAGCGUCCACCGCAUGGUGGGUGUUGGAAAGAUUUAUCGGUUUUGGAUGGACUCGCGGCCUAUCAGCUUGUUGGUGAGGUAAUGGCUCACCAAGGCGACGACGGGUAGCCGGCCUGAGAGGGUGACCGGCCACACUGGGACUGAGACACGGCCCAGACUCCUACGGGAGGCAGCAGUGGGGAAUAUUGCACAAUGGGCGCAAGCCUGAUGCAGCGACGCCGCGUGAGGGAUGACGGCCUUCGGGUUGUAAACCUCUUUCAGUAGGGAAGAAGCGAAAGUGACGGUACCUGCAGAAGAAGCACCGGCUAACUACGUGCCAGCAGCCGCGGUAAUACGUAGGGUGCGAGCGUUAUCCGGAAUUAUUGGGCGUAAAGAGCUCGUAGGCGGUUUGUCGCGUCUGUCGUGAAAGUCCGGGGCUUAACCCCGGAUCUGCGGUGGGUACGGGCAGACUAGAGUGCAGUAGGGGAGACUGGAAUUCCUGGUGUAGCGGUGGAAUGCGCAGAUAUCAGGAGGAACACCGAUGGCGAAGGCAGGUCUCUGGGCUGUAACUGACGCUGAGGAGCGAAAGCAUGGGGAGCGAACAGGAUUAGAUACCCUGGUAGUCCAUGCCGUAAACGUUGGGCACUAGGUGUGGGGACCAUUNNNNGGUUUCCGCGCCGCAGCUAACGCAUUAAGU
rnacentral:rRNA from 1 species